rnacentral:rRNA from 1 species
GUCAGCAGCCGCGGUAACACCGGCGGCCCGAGUGGUGAUCGUGAUUAUUGGGUCUAAAGGGUCCGUAGCCGGUUGGUCAGUCCUCCGGGAAAUCUGAUAGCUCAACUAUUAGGCUUUCGGGGGAUACUGCCAGACUUGGAACCGGGAGAGGUAAGAGGUACUACAGGGGUAGGAGUGAAAUCUUGUAAUCCCUGUGGGACCACCUGUGGCGAAGGCGUCUUACCAGAACGGGUUCGACGGUGAGGGACGAAAGCUGGGGGCACGAACCGGAUUAGAUACCCGGGUAGUCCCAGCCGUAAACGAUGCUCGCUAGGUGUCAGGCAUGGCGCGACCGUGUCUGGUGCCGCAGGGAAGCCGUGAAGCGAGCCACCUGGGAAGUACGGCCGCAAGGCUGAAACUUAAAGGAAUUGGCGGGGGAGCACAACAACGGGUGGAAGCCUGCGGUUUAAUUGGACUCAACGCCGGACAACUCACCGGGGGCGACAGCAAUAUGUAGGCCAAGCUGAAGACUUUGCCUGAAUCGCUGAGGGGUGGUGCAUGG